rnacentral:tRNA from 1 species
GCGCCCAUGGCUCAACUGGACAGAGUGUCGGACUACGGAUCCGAAGGUUGGGGGUUCGACUCCCUCUGGGCGCGCCA